rnacentral:rRNA from 1 species
UACAUGGGGUGCAAACGUUGCUCGGAAUCAUUGGGCGUAAAGCGCGCGUAGGCGGUUACUUAUGUCGGAUGUGAAGCCCUCGGCUUAACUGAGGAAGUGCAUUCGAAACUGGGUAGCUAGAGUACUAAAGAGGGUCGCGGAAUUCCCGGUGUAGAGGUGAAAUUCGUAGAUAUCGGGAGGAACACCGGUGGCGAAGGCGGCAUCCUGGACCAACACUGACGGCUGAGUGAGCGAAAGCCAGGGGAGCAAACGGG